AUUGAACGCUGGCGGCAGGCCUAACACAUGCAAGUCGAACGAGUGGCGGACGGGUGAGUAAUGUCUGGGAAACUGCCCGAUGGAGGGGGAUAACUACUGGAAACGGUAGCUAAUACCGCAUACCAUCGGAUGUGCCCAGAUGGGAUUAGCUAGUAGGUGGGGUAACGGCUAACCUGGGCGACGAUCCCUAGCUGGUCUGAGAGGAUGACCGGCGACACUGGAGCUGAGACAUCGUCAAGACGCCUACGAGAGGCAGCAGUGGGGAAUAUUGCACAAUGGGCGCAAGCCUGGUGCAGCCAUGCCGCGUGUAUGACGAAGGCCUUCGGGUUGUAAAGUACUUUCAGCGAGGAGGCGUUACUCGCAGAAGAAGCACCGGCUAACUCCGUGCCAGCAGCCGCGGUAAUAC
rnacentral:rRNA from 1 species